AAGUCGUAACAAGGUCUCCGUUGGUGAACUAGUGGAGGGAUCAUUAUAGAGUUGUAAGACUCCUAAACCACUAUGGACCUUACCUAACUGUUGCUUUGGCGGGCGGCGCUAGGGCCCCUACGAGCCUACUAGCGUGCCCCCCGGCCCCCUUCGUGGGGGGCGCCUACUAGAGGCUCUAAACCAUUCUUAUAUAUAAAAGGCCUCUCUGAGUCUUCUGUACUGAAUGAGUUAAAACUUUUAACAACGGAUCUCUUGGUUUUA
rnacentral:misc_RNA from 1 species